rnacentral:rRNA from 1 species
UACGUAGGGGGCUAGCGUUGUCCGGAAUCAUUGGGCGUAAAGAGCGUGUAGGCGGCCAGGUAGGUCUGCUGUGAAAACUCGAGGCUUAACCUCGAGCUGUCGGCGGAAACCAUCUGGCUAGAGUCCGGAAGAGGAGAAUGGAAUUCCCGGUGUUGCGGUGAAAUGCGCAGAUAUCGGGAAGAACACCCGUGGCGAAGGCGGUUCUCUGGGACGGUACUGACGCUGAGACGCGAAAGCGUGGGGAGCGAACAGG